AUCUGAGCCCUUCUAGAGUACUGCAGACCAGAACAUCUGCAUGGCAGAAUCAUCUCCCUGGACUAUUUUAAAGAUCCACCUUUUAAAGAUAGAAGACUCAAAAUUGCAUUCAUUUUGGCCCACACUGCCCAUUUGUGUUGAAACCACAGCCCUACUUUGGAGAGCCGCCAUCACUAAUGGAAAGACAUUUUGUGGCUGAAGAUCUACAUUUUCCACAGCAGAGCAGAAUGCUGGCAAGUCAAAUGGCCAAUGUACAAGCAGUUUUCAGCUCAGCGAAAACUCUAACAGUGCGCAGGCAGGCUGGAGGGAGGUGAAGUGGAAGCAUGGGGUAACCGUCCUUCAGUCCAUCUAGUGCCAGAAAAUCAAAAGCACCAGUUUCACACUAUGAAAAAUUUGCCGCUGGUCUGAAAAUGGUCUUGAAAUGAAGAAA